UAUAUAACAUUAUAAUACAUUAUGAAAAAAAGAAUAUCAGCUGAUAAAAAUUGAAGAGAUAGUCCUUAGUUCACCUAAUGUCUUAAAUACAAUAUAAUGAAAUUAGGAGGAAAUUGAACAUUGAUAAUAAUACCAAUGAAACUACUCUAGUGAGAUUCUGCAGGAGCAUCAAGAUUUUCAAAUUAUGAUCCAAAAUAUAUAGCAACAAUAGCAGAAAAUACUUAUAUCAAUUGGAACGGAAAUAAACGUACAACAAUGAUUGGCAAAUUUGGAUAGUGGAUAUUAGGAACAAUAACCUUGCAAUGGCAACUAAAACGAAUUUGAAAUUACAUCUUCAAAACAAUAAACUCGCUAGAUUAACAAUAAUCAAAAUGGCGAUGAUUAAGGUUUAUAAAAAUGGCAGAAACAAAAAUUAAUUAUUUAACAACUCAUAUUAGAUAAUAAUUUGUUUAAUAUAAUUAUAUAUAGAAUUUAAACGUAAGUUAUAUUUAGUAAUAAUGAUUAUGCACUACGAACAUUAUUAAUUUAUAUAAUAAUUUAUUGAAUUAUUACUUUUUAUAACUUUAUUACGUUAUUAAGUGAUUAUCUAGAUAGAUUAAUCAACAUGAUUUGUGAACUUGUUUAAUCCUAUUUUUAUAUAUUUUAUUUGUAUCGUAUUGUAUGUAUUUAUAUGUAUUAUUAUACUAUAAUAUUUUUAUUUGACUUGUAUAUUGAAUAUAAUUAGUAUGUUACGAGUUUCUCCAUUUCUUAACAAAUAGAAUUUUUAAUUAUAUAUUUUUUAGAAACACUUCGGCUUGGUUGAACGCGAUCUUAGUACUUGAUUUGAUGAUAUUUUCUAGUUAUCUUAGUCAGUAUUAUUCUAUACUUGAGAAAAUUUAUUAAAAAUUCUAAAAAUAAAAUUUAAUUCUAGAAAUUUUCCUUAAAUUGGAAAUGUUACAAUUAAGGGGUUGAUAUGCUUUAUCAAGAAUCCGCGAUUUUUUAAGAUGAAUAUGGAGAAGAUCUCAGAGUAGUUGUAAAAUUCGAGAAAAAAUUAGAAUGAUUUUAAAUUUUGAAUUAUUAAAAUGUGUUUGAAUUCGAACUUAGUCAAUUUGAACAAAAGAACUGUUAGAAUCUCUUGAAUUCAUUUAGUGAUAAAAAUAAACUUUCAUUGAAAUAUGAACUUUACUCUUAAUUGUUUAAGAUAAAAUUUCAAUUAACGAUAUACAUAUAACUUAAUAGUUAACAU